rnacentral:lncRNA from 1 species
AUGUUAAAGAUUGGUUCAUGAUGAGUUAAGGGAAUUGGAAAUUCAGUUGAAAGAAUUGGUUGAUAAAAGUUUCAUUCAACCUAGUACAACACUUUUGAGGAGCACCAGUUUGUUGGUGAGAAAGAAAAUGGACUUAGAGAUUGUUCAUUGAUUAUAGACAAUGGAAUUGGUAACGAUCGAGAACCGUUAUCCAUGAUAGUGUACUGAUGUUUAGUUGAUAAGCUCAGAGAUGUUUGUGUAAUUUCAAAGAUUGAUUGAGGUCUGGUUAUUACCAAUUGAAGAUUUUGAGCGACAUUGAUUAUAAGAUGGUUUUCUGGAUUUGUUAUGAUCUUUUAUGAGCUUUGGUGAUGCUAUAAGAAAACUCACGUUGUUUUAGGAGUUUAUGGAUGAAGUAUUCCACGAAUGUCGUGAUAAAUUGUUAUCAUUUGUCAUUGACGAUAUUCUGGUACAUUCUGAGCUAGAGCAGAGCAUGUAAACGUAUUAAGUCGAUGAAGCAAAGAUUGAGAACGUUGGUUGUAUGCUAAGUUUAGCAAAGGCUAAAGUUAAAUGAAUCAAGUGGCAUUCUAAGAUUUGUUAUAUCUGCUUAAGGUAUUCAAGUGAAUCCUUAAAAGAUAGCAGAAAUUGAGAAUUUGGAACAACCACGAGUCGUAAUUGAGAUUUGGAAAUUCUUAACUUAUCAGGCUAUUUUGGAUGGUUGUGAAAGAAUUUUUAGUCAUUGCUUUGUCAUUGACGAGACUGUUGAUAAAGGAGGUUAUGUAUGAGUGGGAAGGAAAUUGUGAGCAAAGGAUUCAACAACUGAAGUAUUUCCUCACUCAUGCACAUAUUUAGUAAUCCCAGAGAAUAGUGGUAAUCAUAAAUUUUUAGUGAUGUUUCUUGAAUGGUAUUGGAUGCAUGUUGAUGCAAAUGUUAGGGUGAUUGCAUAUGUUUCAUGACAAAUGGAACCUCAUAAGAUGAAUUACCCUACUGGUGAUUUGGAAGUCACGAUUACCACCCUUGCUGUGAAGUUAUGGAGACAUUAUAUGUUGAUAAGAAUGCAAGAUUUUACAAAUCAAAAGAGUCUCCAAUAUUUGUUUACUCGGAAGGAUUUUGAUAUGAGGCAACAAAGGUGGAUUGAAUUACUUAGUGAUUAUGAUUGUACGAUCAGGGUGAUCGUGAAUUGUUGUAGCUGAAGCACUUGAUAAGAAGACUAAAGUAAGAUUAAUGUCUGGCACAUUUACCAAGAGUAUCAUCUUGUGGAUUGAAAACCAACGGAAGAAAAAUUAAGAAUGGAAGAUCGAGAAGAAGUUAUACUUGUUAAAUUUCAAGUUAGGCCUGUUUGGUAAGGUCGUACUCGAAACUUAAAUGUUUGACGAGGAAAUUUAAGAAUUAACUAAGUCAAGGAAAGAAAGGAAAAAGAAUGAGUACAUGAUUCGUGAAUCAAAUGGUAUGUGGAUACAAGCAAACGAAAAAGUAUGUGCCUAAUGCUGUGGGUUUAAAGCAAGCAAUUUUGGACGAAGUACACUGUUCAACUUCUGCAAUAUUCUGAAAGUAAUAAGAUUUAUCAUACCACUCGACAGUUUUAUUUGAUCAGCAGAUUGAGGCAGAAAGAGAUAAACCUUUGGAUUGAGACAGCUAUUUUCUGUUUCGAAACAGAAAUGGAAAGAUAUUACUUUGGACUAUGUGUACAAGUUUCCUUGUAUACAAGAUGGUUACGAUCGAAUGUGAAGUGAUGGUUGGGCAACGUAACAAGUUAGUAUAUUUACUCCAGUGUUGAGUAAUAACUUUUUCCCAAACAGGACAACGGUACUUAUUUGUUUUAUGGAAAGAGAAUUGGAUUACGGAACCACUGAGUUUCUUAAGUAUGUUGAGUGCGCAGUUUCUGAAAUAACGCCAUAGGGUCCCUGAAGCGUGUCGUGUGAAUGAAAUGCUUCUGAAUAGAGAAAGAUUCGAUCAAGAAAGAGUUUUAGUAGACCCUGAGACUAUGGAUGAGUCUCCUCAAAGUAUUCAGGUGAUUAAGUUAACCUGAAGUAACCAGGAAUGGCAAAAGAGAUCAACAGAUGGAUAUGCCACUAAUCGAGUAUAUAAGGUAAAUGGUUUUAUAUUUUCGAAGUGUUCACCAUAGAAAAGUAUAAUUCGGGUUGGAAAGGAAGGCAAGUUAAAUCCUAAAUGAAUCGGACUUAGCGUGAUCAUCGAAAGGUUGGUGAAGUUGAUUAUAGAAUUGAAUGGCUUCCAGAGUUGUCGUAAGUGCAUGAUGUGUUUCAUGAUUCGAUAUUUUGGAAAUUUCACCACGAACAGAAAUGGUGAGAUUUGGAAAGAAGACAAAAUAAGUUUAUAUACAUCAGACCGUUUUGAUCACUAAAGGAAUCGAUAAAGUUGCAUACAAGCUUGUGAUGCCUUUAGAAUUGGCUAAGAGACAUAAUGUAUUUUGUGUUCGAUGCGUUGUCACUAGGUGGCAGAGUCGUCUCAUGGAAUUCUGGUGCAACUAUUGAGAAUUAAGCUGGAUCUAAUUAGUGAGGAGCUAUGGACGACUUUGGAUUGGAAAAAGAAGGUCCUGAGAAUUAAGACAGAGUAAGUGGUAAAAGUAUUGUGGAGGAACCAUUCAGCGGAAGAAGCUACUUGGGAGACGGAAGAACGGAUGAGAGAUAUGUAUCCGACGCUAUUUUAUGAGUUUUGAUGGGUUGGUUGGUGGCUGGAAUUUCGGGGACGAAAUUCUAUAAGGAGGGAAGAUUGUCACAGCCCGUUCCAAAAUAUUACAUUCGUGGCUGUGAAUGGACGAAAUUGCCCUUAAGAAAUACUAAGUAUGUGAAGCUCAAGUUGAUAAUUAUCUAGGUUCCUAAGUUUUGAAAAUAAAAUGGAAUUUAAUAAGGAUGGAACUUAGAUUUUUAGGUUAAAAAUUUGUGGUUUGGAGUUGGGGAUUGAAAAAGGACCACGUGGGAUCCCCACACCCCUCAAUCCUCUCCCUAUUUUCUGCAUGCUGUCUCUCUCUCUCUUCCCUCACGACUCUCUCACUCUCUCUGUCACUCUUCUUCUCCGUUCGAACAAACCAACCACAAAACAACCUUAAAUUUCCACCAACGACGGAGUUAAGACCACCAUCAAACUUCUGAAGACUUCACGAUCACGAUGGUAUCCAUUUCAGGUAAGUUUUGCUUCGGAAAACCCUAGUUUCAAAGUUCCCGUGAAGAGCACUGUUCAUGAUCUUCGAAUUGACUUUGUUUUAGGUGAAACCAAGCUCACAGUGACCUUAAGGAGGUCACGAGGAGGCUCGGAGUGCCUCGUUUGAACAAAAUGGAUGUCGGGAUCACUUGGUUCGAGUUUGGCCGGAUUUUGGAAUUUUUGGAAAGGUAUGAUCCCGUUUUUUUUAGGCCUUAAAACUAGUCCAACGCGAUAGUAGAUGUUUAGGGCUUCAAUUUGGUAUAAAUUACGUGAAAAAUGGAUGAAAAACGAAGGAGAAUAGCAAGUUUGAAAUUUUUCCAGAAACCGGCGACUCGCCGGAAAAGACAGGGAAUAUUCCGUCAGUUUUGACGGAAUAUGCUAACGGCGUUGACUGACGCCGUUAAUUAUUUAACGGAAUAUGCUAGGAUUUAACGGAAUAUUCCCUAACUGCCGUUACUGUGCCGUCAGUGUGCACGGCAUGUGGCCGCGCGUGGGGGCGCGUAGGUCCGUGCCACGUCAGGCGCGUAGGGGCGCGUGAGACCUCCAAAAAUUAUUUUAAAAAUAUAGGGAUGAUCCUGAGGUUGUGUAGGUCACAGUGGUAUAUUCAUAUACCCAAUUUGAGCAAUAUAUGAGGAGUUAUUAGCUAAGAGUGGGAUUAUACGUUAAAUAACGUCAAUUUGGUUACUUCUCGUAUAGGCGAGGAUUAUACGGACGUUGGGCAUGGCUAAGGGAGGCUCAGGGACCUUCGACACGUCGAUGUAUUCUGUGAGUGGGCAGUUUUGUUUUCCGUAUACAUAUAUACUUGCCGUUUUCCCAGAAAUUGAAAAUGCAUGAAAUUAUGCUUUAAAUGAAAAUGUAUAAAAGUAUAUGAGAUAUAUUAGUUGAAAUGCCAUGCAUAGAAGUAUGCGAAAAGUAUAUAGAAUUAUAUGAAAAACGUGAAUCGAAUUGCCAUGCAUGAAAUGAUAUGAAUUGAUAUAUGAUGCAUAUGUAUGAAUUGGUGCGGCGGACGCACAGGUGAGUAUCAGGUGAGUAUUUAAAUACUGUUAUGAUGAUGUUGAUAUAUAUUGAGCUCAAAUCCUGCACCAUGGUUUAGUGCUUAUAGUAUUCACCGCAUCGCACGCUCGCCUUGGAUCCAAGUAGAUGCUGGUCGCACAGUCCACGCGGAGUGGGUGCGACGGGCCAGUCGUAGAGUGUUAGUGAGAUUUCGACUGGUGGGUGACCUUAGAUUAUGUGCACAGAUGAUUGAUGAGAAAGCACUAGAGCAUAAUAUUAACCAUUGAGUCGUACAGACUACAUUAGGUGGUUCCGACUUAUGUGCAGAAGGUCGGACAGGUCACAGAGGUGACUCCGGCAGAGUGAGAGUGAUAGAUUUUGAGCUCUAGGUUCAACCGUACAGGGCUAUUAGAGGGCCUCCGGUUGAUUACUUUCUUGCACCUGAUAUGAUUAUUGUUGAUGCAUCCAUACUUAACUGUUGAAUUAGACAUGGCAUGGCAUGAUUGAUAAAGAAAAAUGUUAAGAUAGUAAAAACGAAGUUUUGAGAAUAUAUAUGUAUAUUUAUAUUUUACAUUUCUGGGAAAGUAUACAAGUUUUACGGAGAGGGGUUACAACGUUUUGAGAAAUGUUUGGAUUUGGAAAAGAAUUGUUUUACUGACCCACUCAAUUUUGGUUUUGCGCCCCUCCAGGUUAAAGAAUAGCUGAGGUGUGGUGGCUACGAGGAAUUCAGCGGGGUUCUGACAGAAUGGAUCAAAUUAGGACUCACCUUCGGGUGUAUCAACUUAUAAAUUGUAUCUUAAAGCUUCCGUACAAUGCAAAUGGUUACGUCACUCUCACGUGACGGCCAGCAUGCCCUCCUUCGGGACGGGAUGUGUCAGUUUGCGCGACGAAAUAUUUCAAAGCACAAAGUUUUUGGUUUUUUAUUUAAUUAAAUUAAUUUAAUAUUUUGAGCGACGAAAUUAAUUGUUUGCUAGACGAAAUAUUUUGUUGUGCAAGGUAUUUUAUUUUAUUUUUUGUUAUUUCUCUUAUUUUGAUUUAAUUAUAGUAAUUAUUUGUGCAACGAAAUAUUUGGUAGUGCAAGAUUUUUUGAAUUUUUACUUUUUAAAUUUAAUUUAAUGUAUCUUUAUUUUUUUUAAUUACUUUAAUUUGAAUUGAAUAUUUAAAAUAAAAUUGCAUAUGAAAAAUAGUGAUCAAAUUAUCCAUAAUAUAUAUUAUAUUAAAAAUGUACACAUAAAUUAACAAAGUAUAAUAAUAAAAUCCUAAUACAAGUCUAAUCUAGUGGUACUGGUAGGGGAUAUGGUCCGAUAGCGUCCUAAUCCUCAACUUUCGCCGUCAAAGUCUCGAUGAUUCCCUACGAACAAUACAAACAUGGUCAAAUAACUAAAAAACAACAUAAAAUAAUACCAAAAAAUGGGCAUAAUCUCCUCUAAAAUUGGCAUACCCCAAACUCCACCCCACACCAAACCCAAUUAAAUAACUCCAAAAACACAUAUUAAUGAAAAAAAAAUUAAAAUUUAGUGAGAAAAUACCUUUUGGCAAGAUUGACAAUGAGUGAGAAUGAAAGAGAGGAGUGAGUGAGAGUUAGAGAGAGAUGAGAGAUAGAGGGAGUGAGUGAGAGUGAGAGAUAGAGAAGAGAGAGUGAGUGAGAGUGAGAGAUAGAGAAGAGAGAGAGAAGAGAGAUUAAGUGAGUGAGCGUGAGAGAGAGGGUCGGAUUUGGCAAGAGGGAAAUAGAAGAGAAGUAAGAGAAUAGAGAAAGACAGUGAGAAAAUUGUGGAGGAGUUAUUUUGGUUUUAAAAACCUUAUCACUUUGCGCAACGAAACAUUGGUCGCGCAAAGUCUUAAAAAAAUUUAAAAAAUAAAAUUUCCUGCAUCCAAUUUUUAAGGCUCGUCCUAACUUUUAGGGUUUUGCACAACGAAGUGUUGGUUGCACAAAGUUUUGCGCAACGAAGGAUUCGUCGCACAAAGUCUUACAAAAAUUUUAAAAAAAAAUUCCUUUGUCCCAUUUUUGGCGCUCACCCAAAUUUAAGGAUUUUGCACGACGAAAUAUAUGUUCAUCACACAAAAUUUAAAAAAAUAAUUUUUAUAAAAAUAAAAAAGAAUUUUUUUUAUUUUUCAAUUUAAAAUAUAAAUAAUUUAAAAUAAAUAGAGUUUAGGUGACCAAAUGUUGAUUUGUAGCGCAAAGAAAAUAAUUUAGUUUAACAAUAUAAAAUAUAGAAUUAAAUAAAAAACAAGCAAAUAGGGUUUAGGCAACGAAAUAUUGAUAUUCAUCACGCAAAGUUUUAAAAAAUAAUAAUAAUAACUUAUGAAAAUAACUAUAUUUUAAAUUUUAUAAUAUAAAAUUAAAUAAAAAUAAAUAAAUUGGUUUAGGUGACGAAAUAUUUGGAUUUCGUCGCGCAAAGGUUUUUAAAAAAUAAUUUUUUAUUUUUGUAAAGACUUUGUGCGAAGUUUAAAAUUUGGUCGCACAAAGUAACUUUGAGCAAUGAUAUUUGUUUCGUCGUGCAAAAUUUCAUCCCGCAAGACUUUGUGGGACGAAGUUCAAAAGUUUGUCGCACAAAGUGACUAUGCGCGACGAUGUGUGUUUCGUCGCAUAAGGGGUUGCUUUUUUACUAUUGAAAUAUAAUAUCUCAAAUGUGUGUGACUAAUUUAAAAUAUCUCCGUACACAGUUCCGAUUCCGAUUCAAUUAACAAUAUUUAACUUCACAUUGAAAUUAUUAAAACUUAAUUACCAUAGUGACAUAGAUAAGUGAAAUUAUUCAAACCUAAUCAACGACUUAGACGACUUGUUUCAUAAAUAAUGAUAAGAUGUGAGCACUCAGCACAGGCAUAUGACUCAUGUAGGUUUUAAAGUUUUCAAAAAUUCCAAAAGUACCAAAUUUUCCAAGUCAAAAUAGAUGUUGAAAUUUCAAAUGUAUUUGGACAUGAAAUUAGAAGAAAUUUUUCAUAAUUUUUCAUAAUGAAAUGGAGUUCCUUGAUUCUAAUCUGAAACGUCAAAAAAUCAGUCUACAGCACUAAUUAUAAUAAAAACGAAAUAUAAAUAUGAAACUGCUACAACCAACCAAUAUUGUCACUUUAUUUAUAAAACAAUAUUUGGGGAGAGCGAGUCAAACUCAGAAUUUCACAUACAAAAGCAAGUUAUCCUCCCAAUUGAUCUUUGGCAAUUAUCUGUUGAGCAUUGCUUCCAAAUAAAGAGAUAUUUGAAAAGCCAUUUUGUAAUGGAGUUUAUUUUUCUAUUAAUCUUCGCCACCUUGAUGUCAGCAGACCGGCAUUGAAACUGAGAUAAACAAUAACGAAAUAUUGCUGUUUUAACUGCACAUUAUAGUGUAUACCAAUAUGGGUAACCCACUCCAUAAACUUUAAAUUUUCUAUGCAUCUGAUUCCUCUGCACAUACAUUUAUGGCCACUAGUUUAAUUUAAUCUUAACUUGGUAAUUUUGGAUACAGCUCAAGGUUUGAACUUAUUCCUCUUGUUCUUUCUAAGAUUCUCAAGUCCACCAGUUAUAUAUUUCCUUUUGUCAUGACCGUAUGAGUGUGUCCAAUUUUAUAGGUUGUUGCUUUAUUGGCUUUCCAUGUCAGUCAGCAUUGUUUGCAUUCUGUUUGGUUUUAUAUGAUGUAAGCGAUAUAUUAGGAUUAGGGGAGUGAAAUUGGAAUUUAAACGCAAAUAGAUAAAACAUUAUUCUAAUCAAUUUAAUGAAAAUCAAAAUUAUUUCUCUUUGUUUUUAUUUAUAUAUUUGUCUUAAAUAUAAAAUGAGAAAAGUUGGGCCCUUAGUGCAUUGUUGACAUUUAUUGUGAGAUAUUAAAACACAACACAUGAAGAGUUUACGUGUUACAAUACCAACGGAAAGUAUAUUUUAGUUUUCAAACGACAAAUACAAACAUAUGCAUGCGUACACAUGUAUCAGGUAUGAUAUUUAUACUAAAAGACGUUUGCUUGCGGUUGAAAAGUUAAAUUGAAGUGUCACAUCAUCUCAAGGGUUAUGGCACCUUUGUUUUCUCCAGAAUCUCUACUGGUGUAAAAUUGAGGCAAAUAAUAUAAGUUGGUGAUCAUAAUUCAUAACACAUCGCUUUGCCACGGGCCCUCAGCUUUUGAGUUGUUUCCACCCAAAGACCAACACCUGCAGUCUAACUUUAAAAGAGAAUAUGAGUAAGGUUUGCAACGGUUGUCGACCACCACUUCACUAAAUUCUGAUUUACCUUUUUCAGACUCAAACGGUCGAAAAUAGUAGUAAAGAUUUUCACUUCGAGUUCCUGAUAUUGUGGCUGGUUUGGCCGCUUAGGUUUUAGUUUGCCGUGGUUGUGCAAUUCUCGGACGGUUCAUCUGGCAACAGCCGUCAGCUGCCGCCGUUGUCCAACACAGAGGUCGGUGCAAUUUGGUUUGGAUCAGUUUUACCUGAAAAUUUCAGAUAAAUUAAUCAGCCAUGGAGUGCUGCAAUUAGAUUCGGUUUGAACAAACCAAUGUGAGAAACCAAACAAAUUACAGUUGCUUAACUUCCAAUCAUGUGGAUUAAUCAUAUUGAAAACCCACUGAAGGGUUUUGUGGAUUAAUCAUAUUGGUGUACUAAUUUGAAAACUCAAUGAAUAUAACAAUGAAUUUGAAAUCCCAAUCCAUUAAUCAUCUUGGUGGUGUCGUUUCUACAAUUUCUGAGGACCUUUGGUGGCAGCGAUGUUAGUAAAACGACGUCUCUUAUAGAUUUGUGAGUACCUUUCAGUGGGUUUUGAUAAGGAAAUCGUGAAUUUACUGGCUUUAUGUAGUUUAUGAAGAAUCGGUGAGAGAAAAAGUUCAUGUGUUCAUGAUAUGGGGUGAACCCUAAACUCUCUUAAUUAGAAUUAGUCUUAGAUGAAAUCUGUAUAAGGAAAGAGGGGAAGGAUAUGGCCACCAGUGGCUUGAAGUCGGGUUGGGGCCGUGGAGGCAGAGGACUGGGAUAGGGACUUGUCGGCGACGGAGGGGUAGGGUCGCUGGCGCUGGGUAUAACAGAUGUCACAGAUGAAGUGCAGGGCCGGCCCUGAGAAUUUGAGGGCCCUAGGCGAGUCUUCAAAGUGGGGUCCUAAAGUUUUUGGACCUCCGACUUUUUGUAUAUUGGUAUGUAGUAAGAAGAAUUCGCUAAUUACAUAAAAAGUAUAUUUCUUUAUCGAAUAUCAUUAAAAAUUAAUAUCAAAAGAAAAAAAUAUACUAACAUUACUUAAUAUUCCAUGUCACAUGUCUUUAAACGCAAAUGCACUAAGAUUGAGAGUGAAGAGCAAUAAAACUUAAUGAUCAAGAGAGUAAAAAAACAAUAAAACUUGAUUGACGAAUAUAAUAAUUCAACAACGCCAAGUGGUUCUCUUGUGUUCUUUCUAAAAUCAACACACACUAGCAAAUCAAAUUUUAGAAUAACCUAGUUUAACAAUAAAGUAUUGAAAAAGAAAAUUUAAAUUUAAAGUUAUGGUUACCUCAAAUUACAAUCUUUAGGACCAAGUGAUAGUUACUUAAACAUUCAAUAGAAAAAGAAAGACUAGGAAGUUGAAAGAAAAAGGAUUACAAAGUUAUGAUUAUUCUGGUUUUUUGUUAUUUUUUUAGGUUAUUUUCAAAAGCAAAAGAAAAAAAAAUGCAUUUGGACAAAUUGAGGCCAUUAAUUUCACUAGCUUCUUACAAUUGGCCUUCGUAUGUUUGUUAUUUAAGAAACUCAAGUUUUUUCUAUUUAUACAAAUUUUAUUUAAAAUAUUUUUGAAAAUAAAUAAGAAUUUAAACAUAAACCACCCACCAACAUGAGGUUUUGUUUUUUUUUUUGUUUUCUAAAGUUGAAAAUUUUAAAUUCAUUCAAAAUUAAUAUUUGUUUAAUUAUUUUAACUCCUUUUGAUUCUUGUAAUUUUAAAAUUUUUAAAGAGCAAUUUAUCUUUAAUUUUAAUCUUUAAUUUCAUAGAUUUGAAAAAAGCAAAAACUAAUGCCUACAAGGUGUUUUGAACUACCCACCUCAAUGAAAACGGAAUGGAACCGUUUCCACUGCACCAACAAAAUAAUUGUGAUAUUUUUUUCGUUUUCUUUAUUUAUAUUUUAUAUACAUGAUGUAUAAAAAAAUUUGGGGGCCCCCCGAACUUAGGGGCCCUACAUAAUAAUUUCUCUGUGGUUAGGCUCAGUUUAACCUAAAAUUAGGGGAUAAACCAAACACUAUUGAAUCGGUUGUUUCACCUUGCUUAACGACAUAUGCAAUGAUAUAACUAAAAUUGUACUUAGAAUCAAAACAACUUCAAACUAAUAUGAUCACCAUUUCUAGGGUUGUGAAUUUUUGUGUCGAAAUCCCGAAACCGACCCAAAAAGUCCCAAACUAACUAUCAAAAAAACCGAAAAUCCGCGAAAUUUCAGUAACCGAAACAAAAAAAAUCCAGAAACUUCAGUAUGGACAUCGGUUACUCAUCGUUUUAUUUUUUAAGAGAUUUUUCAGUGUGACCGUCACACGAGGCAGUACACCACAUGUCUUUAUAUUAGGGGUGGGCACUUGGAACCGAAAACCAAAACCGAAACACGAACCAAAUCGAACCGCACUGAACGGUUUGGUUUUGUGGUUUUGAAACGGUUUCGGUUUUGAAACCAAACCGCAAAAUAGGAAACGGUUUGGUUUCAGUUUUAGCUUUUGAAAACCGCACCGAAACCGAAACCGCAUAACUUUAUUAAAUGUUAAAUUCUAAUUGGUUAUUUCAUUGAGUCCAUACAUUUACUAUGGACUCAACCUCAUCAUAAUAUUUCAACAUAAUCUCUAUCUUUUCUUUCUUCUAGUCUGUAUUGCUCAACUUUAUUCAUCUAAGCUUCUAACUCUCUCUCGGCCUCCCUUUCAUUCCAGCUCCAAGCCUCUAGAGUUCAGGGUUGGGUUUUGAAUCAAAAGGGGGUUUGGAUUUUCGUUGGUUAGUCUUCGAAUUUUCUUCGUUCAUGAACAUCAGAAUGUCAGAAUGUUGUUGAUUGGUAAAUAAAUUAUUCAUAUGUAUAAACCUGAUAAAUCAGAGUAAAAUUGAAUAUGAUUCAAGUUCACGAGUUUUGCAAAAACAAAAGACAAAAUGUCAUAUAUGUUCCUAGAUUAGUCGAUAUAAUCCACUUCUUAUUAGAUUUAAGUAUUAAAUUUAGCAGAUUAAGUAUUAAUUAGGCUUGUUGCUUACUGGAAUGGCCAUGCCUUGAAAUUUCAUUUUCUUUCAAUUUUUAUAUAAAAUGCGAAUAAUGGGUAGAUACUAGAUAGGUUUCUGCCCAGUAUACAUAAUUACACACACCUACACGAAUUGAAUCCACCCCCUUGAUUAAGGAGAUGUUCGCAUUACUUAGGACUGCAUGUUGAUUUCAAUCCCUGCAUCAUGAUGUGAACUCUCUUGAACUUAAGAUUGAAUGUGUAUUGCAUGCUUGGUUGUUGACUACAAUAAAUAAUGUUGCAUUUGGGCUAUCAAAGGACUUGUUUUUAAUGUCAAAGGUUUAAACACCAAAACUUUUUUAUUGAAUUGGAUGAAAUGAGAUCCAACUAGGUAACCAUAAUAGUUUUCAAACAAUGAAACCAAGCCAAAACCGUUUAAAACCAAACAGAACCGAACCAAAUGGUUUGGUUUCAUUUCGGUUUUAGCCUCAAAACCGCACCGAACCAAACCGCAAAAACUUGCGGUUUUGGUUUUGGUUUCACUCAAAAUCGCACCAAACCGAACCACGCCCACCCUAUAAAGGGUGGGAUAUAUGUGUUAAAAUAUUAAUAACUUAAAAGUUGUUGUGGUCUAUUUAAUCUGACAAGUUUAGGGUGGCCGGUGGCAAGGAGAAGAAGAGAGAGAUGUGUUUGUAGAAUUGUAGGGGAAUGUGUGUGUUGUUAUCCCUCAUACAUUGUGCCUUUAUUUAUAGUAAUAUAAGGAGAGAAGAUAUUCAUUCAUCCCCAAGGAAUACAAGAUACAAUAGGAAAUGAUAAUUAGAAUAAAAUCUAAUCCUAGAAUUUACACAAUCACACUUAGACUAGGAAUGUUUACAACACUCCCCCUUGAAUGUGUAAAUACUCGAGGUAGAUUUAGCAUCAUGCAAAAGUUGAGGAAGUCAACUCAUUGACACUGAUUCUAAGGAACAAUGCUUAUUCUCAAUAAGGUAGGAACUUGCAUAAGUAGUAAGUCUCACUAAAAAAACCCUAAGGCUAUGGCAAAAACCCGAGUAAGGACAAAAUCCAUAGUCUAAGGAAAAAUGCGUGAGAAAUGCAAAAGUCCAAGAAAUGUCUACGGGACGUCAUCAGGGAUAUGACUAGCCCAAUGUGGGUGCCUCGUUAAAACCUAGUUAGGUAGCAAAAAUCCAAUGGGAAAAAUGCUCCUAAUCGUAGGGAAAAAGAGUACAUUAAGAUCAAGCAAGUAUCUACAGGAUACUCCCCCUGAGUUUGACAUAAUUCCAAAGAGAAAUAGCAAAGUUACAACUCAGAAAAUUUAAGCAUACCAAUUCCAUGAACAAGCUUUGGAAACAUCGUAUUCGGCAGUGAUUUAGUGAAAAGGUCGGCCAAAUUGUCUUGUGAACGAAUUUUCUUGACUUCAAUCUUUUGAUGUUCUUGUUGUUAAUGUGAAGAGGUCGGCACAAUGUGUUUGGUGUUGUCUCUUUUGAUGUAACUCUUCUUGAGCUGCUCGAUAUAAGUUGCAUUGUCUUCAAAGAUCGUCGUCGGGACAUUAACGACGGGAUAAAGAUCGCAGGGGCUUCGAGUAUGGUCCACUACUGCUCUUAACCAAAAACAUUCUUCAGUUACUUCUUGUAAGGCGAGAAUUUCAGCAUGGUUAGACGAAGUGGCAAUUAAGGUCUGUUUAGUUGACUUCCAAGAUAUUAUGGUGCCUCAAACGGUAAAGGCAUAACCCUUUUGAAAACGCGCCUUGUGCAGAUCAGAUAAGUAUCCUGCGUCGGCAUAACUAACAAGGUGAAAAUCAACUUGAGGAGCAUAGGGUGUGGCACCAUUCGAGGAUUCGUAGGGAUAGAACAAGCCUAAAUUCGUAGUACUCUUAAGGUAACGAAAGAUGUCUUUCACGCUAGUCUAGUGUCUGCGUGUUGGUGCAUUACUAUAUCUUGCCAACAGAUUAACAACGAAGGAGAUGUCGGGUCUAGUGCAUUGAGUUAAGUACAAUAAAGUGCCUAUAGCAAAUGAACGACCAUAGGAGUACUCGAAGAUUUCACUCUAUCUCGAGACCAAGACAGUAUCGAGUUUUACCGAGAUCUUUCAUUUCACAUUCUGACUUUCGGUGCGCGGAAAUUCUUGCGAGCUAUUCAGGAGUUCCAAUAAGAUUCAUGUCAUCGACAUAUACUGCGACAAUCGUAAAUCCGGAAUGUGACUUCUUAAUGAACACACAAGGUCAAAGUUUGUUUUUCAUAUAUCCCUGACUAGUAAAUACUCACUCAGAUGGUUAUGCCACAUUCUUCCCGAUUGUUUCAAACCGUAGAGUGAACGCCUCAGCCGAAUUGAGAGCGUGUUUCAGGGUUUGGAAAUAUUUGAACCAGUCAAUGUAAGUCUUUCGGGAACUUUCAUAUAGAUUUUCAUCUCAAGAUCCCCAUAGAGAUACACGGUUACUACGUCUAUCAGCUGCAUAUCUAGUUUUUCGGAAACUACCAAACUAAUAAGGUAGCGAAAAAUAAUCAUAUCCAUAACGGGUGAAUAAGUUUCAUCAUAGUCAAUCCCGGGACGUUGUGAGAAGCCUUGUGCAACAAGACGAGCUUUGUAACACACAAUUUAGUUAUUCUCUUUACGUUUUCAAAUGAAAACCCACUUGCAGCCAACGGGCUUCACAUGUGGAAGAGCAUGAGCUACAAGUCUAAACACUUUACGUUUCGCAAGCGAAUCGAGUUCAACUUGAAUUACUCGUUUCCAAUUUGACCAAUCAGUUCUACAUCAACAUUCAUCAACGAAACACAGUUCAAUGUCAUCGCUGAACAUGAUCUCAGUAGCUACUGCAAAUGCUAAUGCAUCGUCGACAAGCAUCUCAUUUCUACGCCAUGUAUAAUCUAAACUAGCAUAAUAAACUGAAAUCUCAUGAUUCUCGGGAGGAUGAUUCGUCUCUUCAAGGACUUUUCCAUAAUCUAGAAUUUCCUCAUGAGUUCGAUAGAAUGAGUAAGCGAUAGUCAGAUUCAAGGUAGGCUCUUCAAGACCUUUUGCCAUGGUUUUUCUCUUCUAGGGGUAUGAAUCCUUUGAACCAAGGGGUCUGCGAUGAUUUUGUGUAGGGGCAGAUGAUUGGCUAGCUGCUAAUGUACGUGGAUCACCAAGAUUGGUUUUCGGGGCUUCCACGAUGGUAGUUCAUCGUACAUUUGGUACAUCCAUCUUUGCAGGCGUAUUCGUAGCUGGAAUGUGUGAUCUUAUGACGCGCGCUUGAUCGAUGAAAGCAUCUGGCAUGUUUUGAGUUAUGCUCUGAAGAUCUAAUAUGCGCUGCACUUCAGUUUUAGACUGAGCGGUGCAUGGAUCUAAAUGAGACAAAAUGGGAGUCGUCCACUAUAAUUCGCGUCGUUUUUCAGGAACAUUAAGGUUCUUAUCUCCCCUAACGACGAGAAGAUUGUCUCAUAGAAAUGACAAUCCACGAAAUGAGUGGUAAACAGAUCGCAUGUCAAAGGUUCUAAGUAACGAAUAAUCGAAGGAGAAUUAUAUCUAACAUAGAUUCUCAUCCUUCGCUGAGUCCCCAUUUUUGUACGUAAAGGAGGCGAGAUUGGCACAUAUACCGCACAACCAAAAAUGCGCAGAUGCGAUAUGUCGGGUUCGCAUUCGGUAACUAACUGAAUGGCACUAAAUGGUUGUGCCACAACAGGCCUCAGUAUAACCAACUUUGCUGCGUGCAAUAUUGCAUGGCCCUAAGCAGCGAUCGAAAGCUUGGUACGUAUGGCCAACGAUCGAGCAAUCAUUUGUAAGCACUUAAUGAAAGCCUCUGCCAGGCCGUUCUGGGUGUGAACAUGGGGUACAUGAUGUUCAACUUCAACCCCAACCGACAAGCAAUAGUCAUCAAAAGUUUUAAAUGUGAAUAAUGUAGCAUUAUCCAAUCGAAUAGAUUUGAUCAGAUAAUCAGGGUGGUGAGCCCUGAGCUUGAUAACCUAAACCAACAGUUUGGAGAAUGCAGCGUUCCCUGUGGACAACAAACACACGUGUGACCAACAUGUGGAAGUGUCAACCAAUACCAUAAAGUAUCUAAAUGGUCCACAAGGAUGGUGAAUCGGUCCACAAAUGUCCCUCUGAAUCCGUUGUAGAAAAAUGGGAGGAUUCAAACGAAUCUUGCCAUAAGAAGGCUUAGUAAUAAGCUUUCCCAUCAAACAUGUUUGACAUGCAAUUCCUUGGAUCAAACCUAAACUUCGGGUUAGUGGAUGCCCAUGUGAAGAUUUGAGGAUACGGCGCAUCCCUAUUUGUCCAGGAUGUCCCAAACAAUCAUGUCAAAGUGUAAUUUCGUGCCCAGUCCCAGUAGUAGGGCCAGCCACAUAGUAGAAUUCAAUGGAGCGUAUGGUCGUAGUAUACAAACCACUCGGGAUACGCUCCAUCUUCUCUAGAAUACGCUUCUGGCCAUAUUCGUAUGAAGUUAUGCACAGAAAUUCAACUCCGUUUUCUACGUGGGUUUCAGCGUGGUAAUUGUUAUCUCUAAUGUCAUUGAAACUUAACAACGUUCUUCCAGAAUGUGGAGAAUAUAGUGCCUCAGAAAUGGUCAAGAUUGUACCAUUAGACAACAUUAUAUGUGCCUUACCGUCUCCUUUUAUCAGGUUGAAUGGGCUUGAGAGGGUUGUCAGAGGUGCAUUCUUAGGUAUGAAAUUAGUGAAAUAGAUGCGUUCACGCAAAACUGUGUGCAUAGUUGCACUAUCUGCUAGACAAUUAACUUUCCCACUAGUUAUACCUAGAAUGAAAAAUUAAUUGAAUCGGUCACAUGCAUAAAAGUUUUAUAAAAAAAACAAGUAUCAAUUCAAAAUAAUUUCAUUUAUUCAAGGAUUAAAAACUUAAUAUCCAAAACAAAUCACCAACUAAUAAUCCAAACAUAAAGGAAAAUUAUUCAAAACUUAACCAAAAACAAAGGCCACUAGGUGGAAUUCGGCCCCAAUUAUCUUAUUUCAACUAAAAAUAAGUUUAUGUCUAAGAUUCUAAUCUUCCAUAGGGGUGUUUAGGGGUUGGAAAUUUUGCCAUAAACCAAUUUACUAACUGAACCAUACCGGUCGGCUUAUAAUAGUAUGGUAUAAUUUUGUCAUUUUUUCAUAAUUGGUUGACAUUUUACCGAACCGACAAUUAAUGGCAUGGCUUUGGUAAUUGAUUUUGUAUGCCGGCGGUAUGCCAUACCUACCAAUAUAUAUUUUUCUAUUUAGAUAUUUUAGUUAUUUUUUACAUGCUUAACUUCUCCCUAUUACUAUAAAUCAGAAUCUGAUUGUCCAUACUCUGUGCCGCAAGCUAAUUGGAAUAAUGGGGCAACGAAAUUGAUGGCAUGGAAUGCAUAUGAGGCUCACUAAUAUACUUAAUAACCACAGGGAUCCCAAACUCCCAUAAGCAAAGCGACUUGUCAUCAUUGGAAGUAACAAACCUACGGUUAUUGUCCACAAAUGUAAUCGUAAUCACAACACCCAAAUGUUGAUCAUACUUUUGCAAACCUACAGUUAUUAUCCACACUUUCCUUAUUUGCAAACCACCGGUUGUGCCAUUUACCAACCGAACCAACCAAUAAUUUUGGCUGACCCGAUUUUUGGCAACAGCAAAAAGACAGUUGGCUAGCAGUAAUUGAUUUUCGAUAAUUAUGUAUAUGUGGCUGGCAGGUGGUACAAGGAAUUGGGCACGAUUUUCCAACUGAACCCAACCUUAAGGGUGGUAUCCUCUUGAAAAUCAGAAACAUUCAUAUUUGUAGUCUCCGAUUUGUCCACUUGCAUGAAGUUUGAUUCAAACUUCUUACGACGAGAAUGAUAUUCAUCUAUAACCUUCUUGAAAGCUCGGCAAACACAAGACCAAUGGUCCUUUAAACCACAACGAUAGCAUAUGUCUGCAUCCAUGGUUUCAAGUGCUUUGCCCUUGUUCUUGAAGUUUAAGGCCUUAGGAGUGAGGUUUGGGCGCUUAUGGGCUUUGUUUCCUCCCUUGGAUGGGCCUUGACUCUAUUGACCUGGGUGGGAUGGCUUCUGGCCACCCCUACCACGACCCCUUUGGCGUUUUGGGUGUUGGUUAUUACUAUAAUGUGCUUCAGGUAUAGCAGUCGCCCCAGUAGGUCGAGCUUGAUGAUUCUUCAUCAAUAGCUGAUUCUACUUUUCAGCGAUAAGUAAAACAGAGAUCAAAUCUGAGAACUUAGUGAACUUCUGAGCUCUAUAUUGUUGUUGUAGGACAAUAUUAGAAGCAGAGAAGGUUGAAUAAGUCUUAUCCAGGAGAUUUUUUCAGUUAAAGUUUCAUUGCAAAACUUGAGAAGUGAUCGGAUUCGACAAACUUCAGAAUUAUAUUAAUUCACAGGCUUAAAGUCUUGGAAGCGCAAGUGCUGCCAGUCGUGUCUUGCUUCAGGCAAGAAUAUGUCAUUUUGGUGAUCAAAACGAUCAGCCAAAGCGACCUAUAAUGCACGUGGAUCCUCCUCAGCAAGAUAUUCAGUUUACAGAGCGUCAUGAAUAUGUCUUCGGAUGAAGAUCAUAGCAGUGGCUAUUUUAGCUUAGCCAACAGGCUCGUCCGUUGUUUCUUCAAUGGAAGGACGCAAGUUCUUUGCAGUGAGGUGGAACUUCAUAUCUUGGACCCACUUGAGGUAGUUCCUUCCAGAGACCUCUAAAGCGAUGAAAUAUAGUUUGUUCAAAUUUGACAUGUUCCUAUCACAAAAUAGAUGGACAAGAUAUGGUUAGUGUAAUGGAGAAAAAAUCAAUCCAUUCAUCUACGAGUAGAACAUACAGGUUCUAAUAGACAUAAUUUGGUUUAAUUUUGCAUGAAAAACUUCGGGUUUUCAUGGGUGAUGUGUUUAAAUGAAAAACUUCAGGUUUUCAAACAAGGCAUGUUUAUAAGAAACUUCAGGUUUCAAAAUAAUUAUGAACUUCAGGUUCAUAUAUUGUUGCAAGCAAACACAAAUAUAUAUAUGCAAACAAAUAUGCAACGAGAAUAUGCAAAAAUAUAAUUUCAGGUUUAUAAUUAUAAUUAAAUUUUAAUUAUUUGGAUUUCGGGCCAAAUUAAAGUGUGGGUGAAAAAAUAUAAAACCCAUUGGGCCUAAAAUAAUUAGGUGAAGAAAACUCGGGGCCCAAAAGAAAUGCAAAAGCCCACGGGGUGGCUUAAUAAAAUUUGUGCCAUGCACUCCAGGUCAAUAAUGGGCUGGAUUUGGACUCGAGUGUAGGCUACAGGCCUACAGGGAGAACGGGACAAUGAGGGUGGGUUGUUGUAGGCAAGCCCAAGGAAUACAAGAUACAAUAGGAAAUGAUAACUAGAAUACAAUCUAAUCUAUGAUUUACACAAUUACACUUAGACUAUGAAUGUUUACAACAAAAAUUAAAAAUUUCCACCAUUUACAUAAAAACACGUGGUGUACCAUCCGUAUUCCCAACACAACUAAAAAUUUCUCCUAUUUUUUGUAAUACCGAAGAAUUCUAGCCAUUGGAUUGGUCGAGAUUAAAAUCAAACGUUCGUUUUAAUAAAGACCCAUACUAUUUUCUCUCCUCUUCUCGAACUCAGCCCCUUGUCCCUCUCGACUUCCACUCUCUCGUCUAUGUCUCUAACCUUUCCUCGUGCUAAACACUGCGCACCCACCACUCUCUCGUCUUCACUCGCCCAUCAUUCCACCACCAUUACAGCCAUUUUUCAAAGAGCCAGGAACUCCACAUAAGAUUGAUAGCUGGUGUACCAGAGCAAUAAGAGAUGGACACAUAACUUUUAAUAUUUUUUCUUUAAAUACAUAUGAACACAUAAUCGAAAACCAAGAAAACUUCCAUCAAACGUUAAGCAUUCACCACCUCUUCCCUUUCCACCGUCGAUGGCAUUGUCGGACCCACCCCAAAUCCCGACGACAUCAUCGGAAUAUAAACCCUUGCCGGCUUCUUCCUCUUUAGCUACAUCAUCGGAUUCCCUAGACCCGAACGCGACAACCCGAUCGGCGGCUCCAAGAUCUAAAUCAUAAACUCUGUCAAACUGCCAUCCAUGAUGAAUACCCGUCCGUCCUUGGUUUCAUCCUUGCUCCGAUGGCCUUCCACUACUCUUUUAUGGAGACACCAAUCAGUUAAGAAAUUAAAGGAAAAAAAAAUUGCAUUUUCUUAAAAAAUCACUGCAAUCUACCUCCAUGUAUUCCUCUUAAACCCAAAAACAUUCAUACUAUGCAUAAAUUCAUGAAUGUUUGAAAUUGUGAAAAACCCAGCUCAAAAAAAAUUAAAAAAUUCGAGCAAAAGGGGUAUAUUCAAUUGAGAUUUUGAGGGAUUUUAAUUCUUUUAAUGAAUCUAGGAGUAUCCAAUCAGGAAUUUAAGUGAUUCUCUGACAUUCAAUGUGUAUUCAAUCAGGAUUUUAAGAUAGUUUAUUAAAAUCCUUAGAAAUCUGGGUGUAUUCAAUUAGGAUUUUAAAGAAGUUUAUCACAUUACAGGUGUAUUCAAUUAGAAUUUGAUUUUAAAGAAUUUGAGAAAGUUGAGGAAUUAGAGGGAAUUGGAGAGAUUUCGUAGUGUAUUUUGAGCAUCCACAAAUCUCACCUCUCCCCAAGAGAUUUCGAGGGAAUUGAAUCAAAAUUUUACAUAGAAUCUCUAUAAAUCAAUUAAACUCCAUAAAAAUCCAUGGAUUUAUAAAUCUAUUAAAAUCUCUCAAAUUCUCAAUUGAAUACACCCUCCUAAAGGGAUUUGAGAAGAACUAUGCAGAAGCCAUGACGGCCGUUAUCUUCUCAGUUAUCAAGCCCACCGUUUUGGAAGUCACAUAAAUUGUUUUAAUUGAAAAAGAAAGCAGGCCACAUGCCUGCCUGUAAUUGGCCUGGUACUCCAGAUCAGGAAAAAUUUCUCCUAUUUUUCCUCCACCGCCAAAAUUAAAAUCUUGGAUUGGAUGAACCUCAACCCCCAUAAUCAAGGCUAUUACAUCUAGGUAAGUGUUACCCAUUGUGAAGUUUCAAAUUAGGUUUUUUUUUCCUUCGAAUUAGGGGAUUGAUUUCAGAAUUUGUGAAUAGUGAUUGUGAACUCUUAGUUAUAGCGUAGUUGGUCGAAAUAUGGACUACCCAACCGCAAUUCACAGUAAAUUAACGUUGUCGACUUGAGUACUAUAACCCUAAUGAUUUGAUUUUGUUUUGAGCAUAGUCACACACACAACACAUAAUGAGCUAAACUACAAGACGUAAGUGCAUAUUAUUUUCCUUUUCCUAAUUCAUUUAGGGUACCAAUCGAGUGCUCAUGCACGCAACUGGUUUCAAGGAGACAUACUCUAGCAUUUCUCCUUGUAUUCAGGAAUAGUAGAAGCCGCACUUUUUCAGUAAAAUGUUAACGUUCGGUGGUUGAAACUUGAAAGUCUGAAUUCGAUGAGUUACAUCCAUGACAAUGUUUUGUCAUAGUCUUGUCUUCUCUAUUAUUGCGGAUCAUGGACAUAGACAAACUCGCAGGUGCUAAAUGACAAGGGAACAAAAGCAGGUCGACAACCAGUUCAGAAAAUUAACUCGAAUUACCUCUUCAAUACUCAUACAGAAAGAAAAGCAAUACUCAUAUCGCUUGUACUAAUCUAUAUAGUAUUCAACCAGAUAGUUCUCUACUUACUAUUUGUAUCAAUGAUAUACUAUAGUUCGGACCAAAAUGGUGUCGCUUUACGGUUUAGGGUUUACAUUAAAAAUAGAUUCAAACGUAGAUGUAAACAUCUACCCUGCCUUUAUCUCCAGAUAUUAAUCCUUUCAAUAUUUUCACAACCCUCACAUCGAUUAGGUGAUAAAACAUAAAUUGCCAUGUAUGUGCAAAUGUCAUCCUCAUUAGUAAGUGUCAUUUCGGCUAUGUUUGGAUGAUGAUUUUUCAAGUUAUAAGGGAUUGAUGUCAAGUUAUGAAGUAAGAGGUCAUAAAAUGUUAUAUACAAGGGAUUAGAAAAGCUUAGAAAAGCUCUCUACCAGCAUUACAGUUUAACAAAGGCAUGUGAGAGGGAUUUGUACAUGACACCUCUCAUUGGUCCCAAGUAGGCAUUAGCAAAUCCCUCUCGUAUGCCUAUUUAAUGUUGAUGGAGGGUUUACCCGAAUGCUUCUAUGUUUCAUUUUGCGGCUCAUUUCUCAAUAACUUGACAUCAAUCCCUUGAAACUUGAAAACUCUUAUUCAAAUACAGCCUUCGGGUUUUGAAAGCUCAGAACAAAAUAGUUACGACAACUCCUUCAUUUUGAGUCACUAGUUAUCAAAUCCAGCUAAAUAAUUGCUUCAGGUUCUAAGCUACGUAAUUGAAUCAACAAACAUGAUACGUUACCGAAACCUCUUUGACAAUGCAAGGAGAGUUUCAUAGUCUCAUAUAGCAAAAUAAAUCAACACGCUUGGGCCGAAACUUGAUUGCGGUAUUAUAUUCCUGAUUUGUAGAAUUGCCUUUGCGUAAUUAGGUUUUAUCACUGUUCUUGUUAUACACACAGUUGUAACCAUAUUGGUACCUCUUCACGCAUUAAAAACUCCCACAUGUUCACUCUUGCUUGAGCAUUCAGUUUGACUUGGUACCAGAUCAAUGUAUUGGUCCCUUGAUCAAUGUACCAAUUUGGUGGCUCCAUGUAUGAUGUCCUGAAAAUGGUGUCUCCUUCAUGUCUCCUUCUUUAUUUAUUUGACACGUGUACCACCACUUAACUCUAACCUAACUAUGUUAACUUUUACUAAACUGUAAAAUUAAAGGCACCAUAGCUGGUGAAACCUUUCAGCAUCCUAAGAAACCCUUCAACAUCCUCCCCCAAUCUAUCACCGCAGCCACCAAACCCAAUCUCUCCACCAUGCAUUUCGGCCACGAGAUGGAUCGAUUAGAUUAGAUAUUCUCAAUCUAUCGCCGCAGCCACCAACCCCAACCCUUCAGCAUCCUCCCCCAAUCGAUCGAUAUGAUAUUCUCAAAUUUCAAACUUCACACACUGUUUGUUGGCUAUGACGAGAUGGAUUGAUCACAUACCGACCGAUUAGAUAUCCCAAAUUUCAAAUUUCAACUUCACACGUGUUGACGAGAGUACGGGAAUUUGAAAAGAGAGGAGGGAAAGGAAAGAAAGCUUUGCUGCUGUGAGGAGCAGCAUCGGCAGCGAUGGGGUGGUGUCACUGGUGUGGUUGCAGUGGUCAACGACAAUGGGAUUCUGUAGUUGCAGUGGAUAGUUAUCGAAUAGGUUUUUAUUUUCUUUAAUUUAUAAUUUUUCAAUUAGUUUAUAAAAAAUUUGUUUGUACUAUAUAUUGGGCUUUAGUAUUUGAGCCUCAUAACCUAGCCCAUUAUUUAUGUAAGAGGUGAAGGAAACCCUUAUUCUAUAAAAGGGAUCUUUCACCCUCAUUGGAAGGGGAUAGACAUAUAGCAAAGGGAAGCACAGAGGGCAGCACACAGAGAGCUCCCUUCCUUGUCCAUUGUAAUCCACACAUUUACAUAGUGAAACGGAAUCGAGACCAGUGUGGACGUAACCCAACUUGGGUGAACCAUGAUAUAUCUUUGUGUUCUCAUGCGUUUGUGUGAUUCACGGUCGGAUUUACGUUGGUUAAAGAUCGACCCGAUUUUGUGCAUCAACAAAAUUAACAGUGUUAACAUUGGUGUUAAAUUAAUAGACAAAUGUCAAAAAAUUAAGAACGAGAUACAAAUGAGACAUCAAAUUCGGGACAACAGAUCCCUGGCCCAAUUUGGUACCCUUGCAUUUGUUUGUUAUGGUCAAUGAAAUACUGCUAUCGUUUCUUGUCAUAAAAAAUUAAAAAAAAAAUAAAAACUUGGUAUAAGACCAAGGUAUAUAUUACCCUUAUAUUUGUUUGUCAUGGUCAAUGAAACACUGCUAUUGUUUCUUGUCAUAAUAAAAAAAACAAAAAAAAACUUGGUAUAGGAGCAAGGUAUAUAUUCUCCCCCGUUCUAAGUAAUGUAUUCUCCUCAUUCUAAUUAAGCAAGGUAAUUCAGUCAACAUUGUGUUAUGCAUAUAUAUCUCUUUGCGUUGCAGGACAUCGAAUGAAUGUUUCAACACGCGUAGAAUCUCAUAUCACUCGGUAAUGAAACUCUUUCCACCUAGCUAUAGUGCCUUUUAUUUUUUCUUGGUAAUUUUUCUUGUCUUUAUAUAUAUAAACAAAAGGGUGGAAGGAAUAGAACUCGUUAUCCACAAUAUUUAAAUAUAAGACAUCUCAUUUAUAAGUGUAGAAAAAUAACAUCAAUCGUAGUUCUUCACCAGUUGAGUUUUAGUCCAAGAACUUAUGGCUCGUUUACGUAACUAUAAUCAAAAUAGGAGGAAUUGUAAUGAGGGGUCAGAAUUGGAUUCCUGUUAAAGUUGUUUACUUAAAUAUUCUGGAAUCAGAGUAGGAAUGAAAUUGAGUUCAUAUAACUUGUUUACUAGUUCACCUGAAUCGGAAUAGAAAUCAAUAUAAUUACUAAAAUGCCCUUUAGUUCUUUAUUUUUAUUUUUAUUUCAUAUAUAUUUAUUUUUAAUCACAUUUUCAUUAGAGCAACUCCACCCCAUUGGGGUAGGCCGACUCAAAGUCUAAAAAAUAGGCUAGCCUACACAAAAAAUGGUCUAGUCGAGCCUAAUAGGUUGGCACCUAGCCCAAGCCAGUCCAUAGGAUGGUCCAAAACGUGUUGAGCAAUGUGCUGGGAUGUGUGACAUCACAACCCACUACAGAUUUUUUUUUUGCGUCAAGAGCAUGGGAAACAAGCUCGAGUGGGCACACGUUCCCAACAAAAAAACGGUGGUGGGGCCCCUCGUUGCAGCGCACUAAUUAGUACCGGGCGAGUAGCCACGUGGCUCGUUCUGGGCUGUUGGAUUUCCAAUUGCUAGUUUUCUGGACCGUUGGAUUUCCAACGGUAAAAAAAUUUUGAAUUUCAAAUCCAACGGCUAGUGACAUGGUGCGUUCUAGGCCGUCCGAUCCCGAGAUCAACAGUUCAUGAUUUUCGUCCAAAAAUGAAAAAAAAAAAACACAAUGGUCAGAAUUAUGACCAUUUUCCACGUGUCCACAUAUGUGUUGUUGGAUUUGAAUCUUUUUCAAUUCCAACGGUCCAUAUUAAUUAACUUAAAAAAAAUUAUUAAUUUUUUCUAUAAAUACCUAACCAUCAUCUUCCACCUUAUACUACAUUUCAAUAUUUUCAACACUUUCAACCAAAGUUUUCAUAUACUUUUUUGUGGAAAAAAUGGCUACGUGGAAGCUCAUUGAAGAUGUUACAUUGUGUCAAUGCUAGGUUCAAAAUACUCAUGACCCGUUUAAGGUUAAUGAAAUGGAGUUGCGAGAAAUGUGGGCUAUAAUUACGGAGGCGUUUUGUGAUAGGCUUGGAGAUCGCACAAGAAGUAGUCAAGGUCUUCAAGGUCGUUGGAAAAAACUCAACAUAUCCUUUACUUGUUGGAAAAACGCUCUCUCUCAUACUUCAACUAAUCUGAGUAGUGGGAGAAGUUUAGUGGAUCAGGUGACAAUAUUUUUAUUUAUUUAUAUGUAUUCCACCCGCAUCAAUAUUUUAAUUUAUUUAUUUGUGCUACACCCGCAAUUUAUAAUAUUGUCUUAUCCCACAUUUUAUAGACACUACAAGCACAAACAUUGUACAAUGCAAAGAACAACAACAAAUCAUUCACCAAAUAGGAAUGUUGGAAUGUUGUCAAAGAUUGUCCUAGAUACAAACUUGUGCCAACCGGUCCAAAAGUUAUCAUGCACGGCAUCCCUCUACACAGUUCACCAGAAGCAGA